rnacentral:rRNA from 1 species
AGCGAACGCUGGCGGCAGGCCUAACACAUGCAAGUCGAACGAACCUUUCGGGGUUAGUGGCGGACGGGUGAGUAACACGUGGGAACGUGCCUUUAGGUUCGGAAUAACUCAGGGAAACUUGUGCUAAUACCGAAUGUGCCCUUCGGGGGAAAGAUUAAUCGCCUUUAGAGCGGCCCGCGUCUGAUUAGCUAGUUGGUUGAGGUAAUGGCUCACCAAGGCGACGAUCAGUAGCUGGUCUGAGAGGAUGAUCAGCCACAUUGGGACUGAGACACGGCACAAACUCCGACGGGAGGCAGCAGUGGGGAAGCUUGCGCAAUGGGCGAAAGCCUGACGCAGCCAUGCCGCGUGAAUGAUGAAGGUGUUAGGAUUGUAAAAUUCUUUCACCGGGGACGAUAAUGACGGUACCCGGAGAAGAAGCCCCGGCUAACUUCGUG